rnacentral:rRNA from 1 species
GAUGAACGCUAGCGGCAGGCCUAAUACAUGCAAGUCGAACGAUACCAAGGGGCUUGCUCCUUGGAAAAGUGGCGCACGGGUGCGUAACGCGUAUGCAACCUACCUUUAUCAGGGGGAUAGCCCGGAGAAAUCCGGAUUAAUACCGCAUAAAAUCACAGGAUGGCAUUAUCCAAUGAUCAAACAUUUAUGGGAUAAAGAUGGGCAUGCGUGUCAUUAGCUAGUUGGCGGGGUAACGGCCCACCAAGGCGACGAUGACUAGGGGAUCUGAGAGGAUGACCCCCCACACUUGUACUGAGACACGAACCAGACUCCUACGGGAGGCAGCAGUAAGGAAUAUUGGUCAAUGGGCGGAAGCCUGAACCAGCCAUGCCGCGUGCAGGAAGACUGCCCUAUGGGUUGUAAACUGCUUUUAUCCGGGAAUAAACCUACUUACGUGUAAGUAGCUGAAUGUACCGGAAGAAUAAGGAUCGGCUAACUCCGUGCCAGCCGCCGCGGUAA